GCCCGGCCACGGUGGGAUUCGAAUCUACGACCUUUGGAAUACUAGCCCCCUGCUCUUCCAACUGAGCUACGCGGUCAGGACGGUUCGAGUAAGUGAUAUUUCGGAACAGAAUCUAGUUCCGUCGAUACCAAUGUAUUCUAGUAAUAUGAAUUUUUUUUCUGUGUGGGUGUAGUGUACUCAGGUGAAUAUGAUAAUUGUGGUGUUACUCUGAGUGUAUAUCCACACCGGGCGAGCUUGAAAAAUAUGCCCGGCCACGGUGGGAUUCGAACCUACGACCUUUGGAAUACUAGCCCCAUGCUCUUCCAACUGAGCUACGCGGUCAGGACAGUUCGAGUAAGUGAUAUUUCGGAACAGAAUCUAGUUCCUUCGAUACCAAUGUAUUCUAGUAAUAUGAUUUUUUUUUCUGUGUUGGUGUAGUGUACUCAGGUGAAUAUGAUAUUUGUGGUGUUACUCUGAGUGUAUAUCCACACCGGGCGAGCUUGAAAAAUAUGCCCGGCCACGGUGGGAUUCGAACCUACGACCUUUGGAAUACUAGCCCCAUGCUCUUCCAACUGAGCUACGCGGUCAGGACGGUUCGAGUAAGUGAUAUUUCGGAACAGAAUCUAGUUCCUU
rnacentral:lncRNA from 1 species